rnacentral:rRNA from 1 species
UGGGGAAUAUUGGACAAUGGAGGGAACUCUGAUCCAGCAAUUCUUUGUGUGUGAAGAAGGUUUUAGGACUGUAAAACACUUUUAGUCGGGAAGAAAAAAAUGACGGUACCUACAGAAGAAGCAACGGCUACAUACGUGCCAGCAGCCGCGGUAAUACGUAUGUUGCGAGCGUUAUCCGGAAUUAUUGGGCUUAAAGGGCAUCUAGGCGGUAAGACAAGUUGAAGGUGAAAACCUGUGGCUCAACCAUAGGCUUGCCUACAAAACUGUUGAACUAGAGUACUGGAAAGGUGGGUGGAACUACACGAGUAGAGGUGAAAUUCGUAGAUAUGUGUAGGAAUGCCGAUGAUGAAGAUAACUCACUGGACAGAAACUGACGCUGAAGUGCGAAAGCUAGGGGAGCAAACAGG